GACGAACGCUGGCGGCGUGCCUAAUACAUGCAAGUCGAACGCAGUGGGGACGGGUGAGUAAAACGUGGGUAACCUCCCAUCAGAGGGGAUAACACUUGGAAACAGGUGCUAAACCGAUACUGAUGGAUGGACCCGCUGGGCAUUAGCUAGUUGGUGAGGUAACGGCUCACCAAGGCCACGAUGCAUAGCCGGCCUGAGAGGUUGAUCGGCCACACUGGAACUGAGACACGGCCCAGACUCCUACGGGAGGCAGCAGUGGGGAAUCUUCGGCAAUGGACGAAAGUCUGACCGAGCAACGCCGCGUGUAUGAAGAAGGUUUUCGGAUCGUAAAGCUCUGUUGUUGGAGAAGCGGUAUCUAACGAGAAAGCCACGGCUAACUACGUGCCAGCAGCCGCGGUAAUUC
rnacentral:rRNA from 1 species